GCGGGUGUGGCGAAAUUGGUAGACGCGCUAGACUUAGGAUCUAGUGCCGUAAGGCAUGGGGGUUCGAGUCCCUUCACCCGCA
rnacentral:tRNA from 1 species